rnacentral:rRNA from 1 species
UACGUAGGGGGCAAGCGUUGUCCGGAUUUAUUGGGCGUAAAGCGCGUGUAGGCGGCCAGGUAGGUCCGCUGUGAAAACCCGAGGCUCAACCUCGGGACGUCGGCGGAAACCAUUUGGCUAGAGUCCGGAAGAGGCGAGUGGAACUCCUGGUGUAGCGGUGGAAUGCGCAGAUAUCAGGAAGAACACCAACGGCGAAGGCAGCUCGCUGGGACGGUACUGACGCUGAGACGCGAAAGCGUGGGGAGCGAACAGG